UAAAACCAGCACCUCAAGUGGUCAGGAUGAUUAUUGGGCCUAAAGCAUCCGUAGCCUGCUCUGUAAGUUUUCGGUUAAAUCUGUAUGCUCAACAUACAGGCCGCCGGGAAUACUGCAGGGCUAGGGAGUGGGAGAGGUAGACGGUACUCGGGAGGAAGUGGUAAAAUGCUUUGAUCUCUCGAUGACCACCUGUGGCGAAGGCGGUCUACCAGAACACGUCCGACGGUGAGGGAUGAAAGCUGGGGGAGCAAACCGGAUCAGAUACCCGGGUAGUCCCAGCCGUAAACUAUGCAAACUCAGUGAUGCAUUGGCUUGUGGCCAAUGCAGUGUUGCAGGGAAGCCGUUAAGUUUGCCGCCUGGGAAGUACGUACGCAAGUAUG
rnacentral:rRNA from 1 species